AUCUUCAACCCCAUGGCCGAAUAUAGCAAGGAGAAACCAUGGCUAGGGUUUUUCAAGCUUCCAAGCUCGAUUAGCAAGGAAAACUGAAAUUCGGGCUAAAAUGGGGAAAAUACCAAGUUGUGGACGAAAUGGUAAAAAUAGCCAUUUUCGCAUACGAGUGUUGACAAGCCAGCUCGGAAAUCGGAAGCGGUCGGAGGCACGCUCACACUAUCUGUAUACCAUCUUGACAUAAUGGCUUGUAUAUUUUGAGUAUGGCAUGUAUAGCAUUAUAAUCAUUUUGUAUAUAUGGUCUUAUGAUAUGGUUAUUGAGUGGUAUGGAGAUAGAAAUGCUUGGUAAUGAUUAGCCAUUGGAAUGGCUAAUCAUGAUCAUAUUUGGUAUUAUGUAUGUCAAAUUGCUAGCUAAUCCAUGGAAACCAUGAAAUAGGUAAAAUUUACCAUAAAAUAGAUUCAGACAGCAGCA